GACAGAGGUGCCGAGCGUUAGGCGGAAUCACUGGGCUUAAAGCGUGUGUAGGCGGAUCUGUAAGGACCUUGUGAAAUCCCACGGCUCAACCGUGGAACUGCUUGGUAUACUGCGGGUCUUGAGCCACCUAGGGGCAAGUGGAACAAACGGUGGAGCGGUGAAAUGCGUAGAUAUCGUUUGGAACGCCAAUGGUGAAAACAACUUGCUGGGGGUGUGCUGACGCUGAGACACGAAAGCCAGGGGAGCAAACGGG
rnacentral:rRNA from 1 species